rnacentral:rRNA from 1 species
CAAUAGCGUAUAUUAAAGUUGUUGCAGUUAAAAAGCUCGUAGUUGGAUUUGUGGUUCGUCCCGCCGGCUGGGUCAUUGACUUUUGCUGUGCUGGUCGUCCAUCCUUGGGUGGAAUCUGUGUGGCAUUAGGUUGUCGCGCAGGGGAUGCCCAUCGUUUACUGUGAAAAAAUUAGAGUGUUCAAAGCAGGCUUAUGCCGUUGAAUAUAUUAGCAUGGAAUAAUAAUAUAGGACCUUGGUACUAUUCUGUUGGUUUGCGCACUGAGGUAAUGAUUAAUAGGGACAGUUGGGGGUAUUCGUAUUCCAUUGUAAGAGGUGAAAUUCUUGGAUUUUUGGAAGACGAACUACUGCGAAAGCAUUUACCAAGGAUGUUUNCAUUA